GAGGAUGAACAAGAACAAGUCGCCCCAACUUAUAUAUGCAGUGAGAUAGUUGGAACGAAAUCGUGCCCGUCUGAUUGCAGAUGCAUAAAAACCAGGUUGUUGCUUGUUGACAGACUGUUCAGGUUUUUACAGGGUGAAACGAUGGGAAUGUUUUUUUGUUUUUUGUUUUUUGUUUUUUUUUACAGCGGGAAUUGAAGAGGUGGAGGUCAGUUAACAUUAUGCGGGCAUUGUGUGUGGUUCGUUCACUACAAUUUUCUUGAAACGCUGUGAUUAUGUGGAGGAAAAAAAAGAGAAUAGCUCUCAUCCUAUUAUAAACAAGACACGAUGGUGGUAGGGUAAGGGAGUCCACUGGCCGCGUAAAUUAUUGUUAAACGAGAAAAAGGAUAUAAUAAGAGCUGGAAGAAGACGAGUCAUCAAUUCAUCAACCUGCACUUUUAACUGAAGGGCAACCGAAGGGCGAACUUCGUCACAAAGUCGUAAAGAUGAUGAUGGCCGUGGCCCGUUGUUAAGACUUCACGUCAGGCGUCAGGCGAUGAACGAUUAUGAAACUUAUAAGAACACGAAGGACGUAUACCGCUUGUACACAUCCUGGUGCUGUCGACGGAGGUUCAAGGAUAAUAGCCACCGCCCGCCUCCUUUUCAUAAAACUGCGUGAAGAAUUUCGUGAUUACGCUGCGUGCGGCUAGUGUCUUCUUGAAAGAAAAAAUAAAAUAAAAAUUACGGCACUAAUAAAUUGAAAUGCGAGCCCGCAUGUCUUGAAAAUAUUCUAAUUGCUUUAUUGUAUCAUCACAAUUAUUUCAAAAAUGAAGCGGAUAAAAUAAGACGGCGGCUGAGCACAAUGGCGUGUGUGACGUCAGAAAGGAAGUAAAGGGCAAAUUAAUCUGCUUAUAGACCUGCCGCCGCCGCAGCAUCAGCCGUCCUUUAUUUCUUUGUAACAUCUAAGCGCCUCAAAUCCAUUCUUCACACAGUCCUUCAGCAGCAGCAGUCGGUGAAUGCUGCGCACUUAUUCAACGCGUACGCACCGCUUUCAAUCAAUGCGAUCAAGGAAAUCCAGCCGAGAGCCGACACACGGGUGCUAUAGCAGCGUCGAAGAAAAGCGUAUCACUCGAUUGCACUGCCACUUCCGCCUCUUGACACUGUGAAAAAAAGGCCGUUGCCUGAGUUUCUCUUGUGUGAAGGCACAAUUGCACGGGCUGCGUGAGUUGGACGUGCUGAUAAGAAUAAGACGUGACAAAAUAAACUUGGCUCCAGCUUAACAAUCCAAUAAAAUGUACAAAUCUCUCGAG